GCCAAUUCAAAUUUCUUUGAUCAAUAUAUAUUUCUUUCCAACAAUGUGAAGAGUGAGUAAAUUUCAUUGCAGAUGAAGACACAAAUCAAAGGUACAAAAGCCAAACAAUACAUGCCAGAAUUACUGAGGAUAAAAAGUUCCAUGAAACUCGUCAUGAAUCUAUUUCUUCUUGAUGUUAUGGCUUUCCGAUUUGUUGAUAUUCCAUCCAUCUUCCGCCUGUGCUGCUUUCUUUUUCGCCUUCUCUUGAAGUGCCUUUGCAUCCCUUUCUCUUCGUUGUUCAGGAGUUAAUCCAUCAUUUUUAGGUGUCUUGGACUUGUGAUUUCCCCUGGCUUGUGCCCUUUCACGAUCUCGAUCUCUCUGGUUCCCGCGUUAGCUCAAGUUAAAGGCCAAAAACAGGCAGGGAUCAACAACAUUUUGGAAACCAAAGCUCAAGGAAGAUAAGGACUCAGGCUGAGGCAAACACACAAUUUAAACCAUUGAUGCUUUGUACUAUCGGAUUACAGGUAAAUACAUGUUCAAUGUUAGGCUGCAUUUGCCUCGAAUCAGCUUGACAUUACUUUAGACUUAAGCUAAAAUUUUACUUCCGCCCCCUUUUUAGCAACCAACAGGAGCAAAAAGUUCUUUUAUUUUAGGAAAAAAGCACAAAUAUAU
rnacentral:misc_RNA from 1 species